CCUUAGUAGCGGCGAGUGAAGCGGCAAAAGCUCAAAUUUGAAAUCUGGCUCUUUCAGAGUCCGAGUUGUAAUUUGAAGAAGGUAUCUUUGGGUCUGGCUCUUGUCUAUGUUUCUUGGAACAGAACGUCACAGAGGGUGAGAAUCCCGUGCGAUGAGAUGAUCCAGGCCUAUGUAAAGUUCCUUCGAAGAGUCGAGUUGUUUGGGAAUGCAGCUCUAAGUGGGUGGUAAAUUCCAUCUAAAGCUAAAUAUUGGCGAGAGACCGAUAGCGAACAAGUACAGUGAUGGAAAGAUGAAAAGAACUUUGAAAAGAGAGUGAAAAAGUACGUGAAAUUGUUGAAAGGGAAGGGCUUGAGAUCAGACUUGGUAUUUUGUAUGUUACUUCUUCGGGGGUGGCCUCUACAGUUUAUCGGGCCAGCAUCAGUUUGGGCGGUAGGAGAAUUGCGUUGGAAUGUGGCACGGCUUCGGUUGUGUGUUAUAGCCUUCGUCGAUACUGCCAGCCUAGACUGAGGACUGCGGUUUAUACCUAGGAUGUUGGCAUAAUGAUCUUAAGUCGCCCGUCUUGAAACACGGACCAAGGAGUCUAACGUCUAUGCGAGUGUUUGGGUGUAAAACCCGUACGCGUAAUGAAAGUGAACGUAGGUGGGGGCCCGUAUGGGUGCACCAUCGACCGAUCCUGAUGUCUUCGGAUGGAUUUGAGUAAGAGCAUAGCUGUUGGGACCCGAAAGAUGGUGAACUAUGCCUGAAUAGGGUGAAGCCAGAGGAAACUCUGGUGGAGGCUCGUAGCGGUUCUGACGUGCAAAUCGAUCGUCGAAUUUGGGUAUAGG
rnacentral:rRNA from 1 species